rnacentral:SRP_RNA from 1 species
GCCAGGCGCGGUGGUGCGUGUCUAUAGUCCCAGCUAUUCGGGAGGCUGAGGCUGAAGGAUCUCUUGAGUCCAGGAGUUCUGGGCUGUAGUGCGCUAUGCCGAUCAGGUGUCUGCACUAAGUUCAGCAUCAAUAUGGUGACCUCCCAGGAGCGGGGGACCACCAGGUUGCCUAAGGAGGGGUGAACCGGCCGAGGUCGGAAAUGGAACAGGUCAAAACUCCUGUGCUGAUCAGUAGUGGGAUCGCGCCUGUGAAUAGCCACUACACUCCAGCCUGGGCAACAUAGUGAGACCCUGUCUCU